UGCGACCCCAGGUAAAGCGGGACUACCCGCUGAAUUUAAGCAUAUCAAUAAGCGGAGGA
rnacentral:rRNA from 1 species